AAGGAAGAAGGGUGCGGGGCACCUGGAGGGAGCUGCGCGGGGCCGGAGCUCCCACGCCUGAAGUCCCGAGGGAUCGGGGACCGAGGGCGCAGUAAGGCCAUCUGACUGAUCCUGGCCAGUGAAAAUAUGAGUGGAACUGAUGUGUUUCACUUUGCCUGGAAGCACUGAGGAGCUGGAGACUGAUUCCCCACAUUAUCUUCCCUGCCAUGUUGGUUGUGGAAGUAUGUGUUGAUGCGGAAGUACCAAAAGACCAAUGCAGCUAGAAUGCUGGGCCAUCGUAUAGAAGACAGAUGCCUUGCAUGCCACCCAGAUAUUUUUUGAAGCUAUGCUAUUAGAAGUAUGCAAGUGUAGAAUUGUUUCCAUCUCCCUAAUGAAUUGGACCUUCCUCAAUAGCCAGUGAUUGUUUAGAUUCACCCAUGUAUUCAUCAUUUUCUUUGCUAUUUUGGAUCUCUGACCUUCUUUCUGGGAUGAGUUUUCUUCAUCCUGACGUACAUCCUAUAGAGAUUUCUCUGGGAGGAAGAGGCAAAACAGAUGAAAAUCCAGAUUAAUCAGAAGAUCUGGCUUGAGGGAGUUGCAGCUCAGCUGUCUUUUAGAAAGUAGACAUGUCUUUUGAGAAGGAGCAACCUGCAAGUGAGCUGGAAGCAGAGAUGCCAUUGAUUGACCUGUGGAAAGUUCUCCUGUUCAUCCACUGCUAACUGCAUUCUGGGAAUACCGACUGCAUUAUUCAGCCAUGGAAGAACUCCACUCAGAGGGAGUCGCAGUAACUCAGCAUCAGCCCUUUCCGCUUGGAUACCAAUAAGUCCUGCACUUCAAAAUUGCUGACCUAAAAAGGAUACUUGAGAAGGAGCAUGUCUUUUUUUUUUUCUUUUAAUUAAAGAAGGCAACACCAGAAGCAGUCUAACUUCCUUGUUCACUUAGAUGCAUGCAAAAAAGAAAAGUGAGUCACUCUGAGUUUCUAACUUUAGUAUAUAGAAACAAAGCACUGAAUCAUAAAACUUGUCAGGGGAGACCUAGAUAUAGUUUUAUCUAGGUAAUGUUCAUAUUGACAGAGUCUGAAAUUCUAUUUUUGUGGUAGAGUUAUGGAAUUGGGGCUACAAGUGUCUACUCACCAAUAAUUUGCAGAUCAGGAUGUGACUAUAAAAAACUUUCCAAUAAAGAUAUGGCAGGGCCAUCUCAUAGCACAGUCUACCUUCACUGAGUCAGCCAUACUCAGGCCAAAGCUUUUCCGAAUCCAGAAUUGCAAAGGAACUAUGAAAUCAACUUUAGGAAAAGCAUUGUAGACUUAGUCCAAAUAUUAAUGUUAAUCAUGCUGUGUAUGAAAGGAAGGGUUUUAAAAAAUCACUUAUUCAGUCAAUUGGAAACUAAGUAGAAACCUAUGUAUGAAACAUAUUUAAUAGAUAGGAUCCAAGCUCAAGUCUUUCUGCAAACCAAAAACAACUCUCUUGGAACCCUGAUCUAACAGAAUUAGUCUACCCCAAAUAAUUUAUCCUAUUUCCUCCCUUUUAAAAUAACUAGUCCCCUGCCCUGUCUUCAAUACUUUUAAAACUUAUUAUCUCUCAUAGAUAUGAACUACCUUUCCAGCUGUUAUGAUGGGUUUGUAAUUACAAACUGUCAAUCAGCAAUCACAAACAACUACUAAUAACAAUACCAUGAAAUAAUUUUUAAAACAACAAUAACAACCGAGCUUCCUGACUUCACCAUUCUGCCAUAAUGCCCAUUAAAGUAAACUAAGCAGGGCCUCCCUGGUGGCGCAGUGGUUGAGAGUCCGCCUGCCGAUGCAGGGGAUACGGGUUCGUGCCCCGGUCUGGGAGGAUCCCAUGUGCCGCAGAGCGGCUGGGCCCGUGAGCCAUGGCCGCUGGGCCUGCGCGUCCGGAGCCUGUGCUCUGCAACGGGAGAGGCCACAACAGUGAGAGGCCCGUGUACCGAAAAUAAAUAAAUAAAUAAAUAAAAUAAAGUAAACUAAGCAAAACAAA